AAGUAUUACAGCUCUUUUAGAAUUUGUCUAGCAGGUUUUCAGAUCCUUACCGGAAAACCCCA
rnacentral:snRNA from 1 species